UUGAAUUAGCGAUAAUUUGAUGAAUCAUGAGAAGUCAGCAGAGGUCAUAGUAGUUCUUAGAAUGAAGGG
rnacentral:ncRNA from 1 species